AUAAAUUAUGGGAAUAUGAUCUUGUCAUGGCCAAAAAAUUACUUUUUUAUGAAGUAAUGCUUCAAUGAAGAUUGAAAUUAUUCAAUUAUUUAAUAACAGAUAAUUAUAAAGUAUUUCUUGAAAAUGUUUUUAAAAACAAUUUUGGCGAAUGCACAAUGAAUAUGAACGACUGAUGUUUCAAGAAGUUUUACUUUAAUGAUGCUUAGAAUAUUAUCGUUGGACGCAGUUAUAGCAUGAUGUAAGAAGCAGAAGAAAAGGACCGCAGAUGCAUCCUGUUAAUCUGCAAGUUGCCAACAAUGGAAGCGUGGCGCGUUAUGAAUCGAUUGUUGUAAACCGAUGAAUAGAGAACUUCGCAAUGCAGAAAUUGCAAAGCGCCAAGGUCCGGCAUUCUCACAAGGACGCGAGGAGAAUGCAGAAGGAAUUAUUUCCAUCGAGACUUCAAUAUUGCCUUAGUGGAAGAUCUCGCAAUAACAUUAGAGAACAUAAAGAUUGAAAUUCUUUUACUGCCCUUGGAAAUUACUUGUACUUGUACUUGUACUUUUAUCACGGAUACUUUUCGUUAUCAACUCAAAUAGACCAAUCAAAUCAAAUCUCUUUAAUUGAGAAAUCGGAACUCAAGUAGGACAAAUCCGAGCUGAGACGGAGAUAAUUGAUAAUUGGAUAAUUUAGAUUCAGAUGGAAGCGAGAGCUCUCGUGACGCGGAAGAGAAGUAUGGUUGCACUCUCGACCCGUUCUGUGGUGCGUUAGCUUUCCGCAGCGAGAUUCGGGUCUACAUGCAUCAAUGGGUCAAGCUGAAAGUACAUUGUACACCGAGCGGGAAAAUCACCCGUUCGAGGGGCAACGCGUUCGCCGCACAAUGCAACGAAUUAAAAGUAUGCAUCACGGUGCAAUUGUUAAAACUUAGUCGCGAUAACGGUGAACGAGCAAAAUUAAUUUUUGCUCAGAACGUGUAAUUAUUUUGGUCAAGGUGAUCUUAUAAUGUCCGAUUAUUUUCAUUAAAAUUCUGU